rnacentral:misc_RNA from 1 species
GUCAUUACAUUUUUUGCAACAUGAAAUAAAAACAAUAAAGCUUAUAUUGUGCAUCCGGAUUGCUCCGGAGCGCAUAUUGUCACACGGAAACUACCGCGCAACACUGAUUUGUUAAUGAUCCUUCCGCAGGUUCACCUACGGAAA